GACGAACGCUGGCGGCGUGCCUAAUACAUGCAAGUUGAGCGCUGAAGGUUGGUACUUGUACCAACUGGAUGAGCAGCGAACGGGUGAGUAACGCGUGGGGAAUCUGCCUUUGAGCGGGGGACAACAUUGGGAAACGAAUGCUAAUACCGCAUAAAAACUUUAAACACAAGUUUUAAGUUUGAAAGAUGCAAUUGCAUCACUCAAGGAUGAUCCCGCGUUGUAUUAGCUAGUUGGUGAGGUAAAGGCUCACCAAGGCGAUGAUACAUAGCCGACCUGAGAGGGUGAGCGGCCACAUUGGGACUGGGACACGGCCCAAACUCCUACGGGAGGGAGCAGUAGGGAAUCUUCGGCAAUGGACGAAAGUCUGACCGAGCAACGCCGCGGGAGUGAAGAAGGUUUUCGGAUCGUAAAACUCUGUUGGUAGAGAAGAACGUUGGUGAGAGUGGAAAGCUCAUAAAGUGACGGUAACUACCCAGAAAGGGACGGCUAACUACGUG
rnacentral:rRNA from 1 species